ensembl:lncRNA
UCGAGUCAGUAUUAUUUUCCACUGAGGGUUGGCUGAAACGAGGGUUUUUCCGCAGGUGGAGCAAUGCGAGAACAGAUAGAGCAACUGCGACACACGACACUCCGAGGAUUUAAACUUGAAGCACAUCCUGCCUCUGCUUUUCUCCAGCUCUUGAAACAGGGCGGAUGUGUAGAUGUUGAAGGAUAAUGUCGGGGAAUAUGCAGCUCAUUCAGUUCGCACGGAUUCUUCUGUGUCUCGUGAUUUUCAGGGACCUUUGGCACACAUAUUCAGUUUUUACUGAGUGGACUUGUGAUUGAUGAAGACAACAAUGUUGGAAUGCGGGACCAAGAAAUGGCGUCUAUGAGGCAGGGACGAGUUUUCUUAAGCCUUAUAAAUGAUGACAUACCUAAAACUGUGCCAGCGAUGGAGGAACUGCUUGUCAUGCUUGAAGAGGAAGCACAGUCCUUUAAUGAGGAUCAUUUUGAGACACUCAUAUUGGGAAUCAUCUAUUCAGCCUACCAGGUCCGUGAGAAGAGGCAAGAGAGUCAGCAGCAGGCGUGGGCAGGUGUCCUCGGGCGCCUGGCCAACGUCACUCUGGUACAGCUACGCAGAUCUUGAAUUAUGCCACAAAAUGCAGAAAACAGUCAGAUCCAGUC